rnacentral:rRNA from 1 species
CGUGUAGGCGGGAAUACAAGUCAGAUGUGAAAUACUGUGGCUCAACCACAGAACGGCAUCUGAAACUGUAUUUCUUGAGUGCUGGAGAGGAAAGCGGAAUUCCUAGUGUAGCGGUGAAAUGCGUAGAUAUUAGGAGGAACACCGGUGGCGAAGGCGGCUUUCUGGACAGUAACUGACGCUGAGACGCGAAAGCGUGGGGAGCAAACAGGAUUAGAUACCCUGGUAGUCC